rnacentral:lncRNA from 1 species
AACUUAGGUAGGUUCUAUUUGGCUGAUGAAAAAAAAAAGAAGCUAUUUUAGAAGCCAAACCAAACAGACAUAAAUUUAUUAUCUGAGGACCAAAAUUGGACCCGAAUCGGAUAAGCUAUUUUAGUACGUUCGAUUCAGCCACUUUAGUAGGUUUGAUUCAGUUUCAACUAUUUGGUCAACUCCAUUUGGAAGGCCAGGAAUGACUUAAUCUUUAGAAGUAUUUAAUCGAACCCUAUGCUUGUAACAUACAAGCUUAAGCAAAUGCUGAAGGAGUGGGACUAUCUUAUUCCAACAAGACAGACCUCUUAAUCCUUUUAUCCCUAUUCUUGUAACAUACCGAACCCUUUUUUUUUCCUUUUUUCGAGGCCCUAGCUGUAUCAUUCCUGUAGCCUAAUUCAUACUCCUUAUGAAUGAAGCGGAUAGCAUGCUACCUUUCUCUAAAAAAAAAAGCUAUUUGGUCAACCUA